rnacentral:rRNA from 1 species
UACGGAGGAUGCGAGCGUUAUCCGGAUUCAUUGGGUUUAAAGGGUGCGCAGGCGGAUAUAUAAGUCGGAGGUGAAAUUCUGAUGCUCAACAUCAGCCGUGCCUUCGAUACUGUAUAUCUAGAGUCAAGUUGGAGUAGGCGGAAUGUGUUGUGUAGCGGUGAAAUGCUUAGAUAUAACACAGAACACCGAUCGCGAAGGCAGCUUACUAAACUUUGACUGACGCUCAUGCACGAAAGCGUGGGGAUCAAACAUGAUUAGAUACCCUGGUAGUCCACGCUGUAAUCGAUGAUUACUCGCUGUUGGCGAUACACAGUCAGUGGCUAAGCGAAAGUGAUAAGUAAUCCACCUGGGGAGUACGACGGCAACGUUGAA